rnacentral:lncRNA from 1 species
AUUUUGGGGCUAAUUUAUGGAGUUUGCCUUGGGCCCCAAAAAUCACGGGACCGGUCCUAUCCUUUAAGCAUAGAUUUACCUUAUUAUUAUAUUUUAAUAAUACUUUAUUUGUUUACUCAAAGCCAGAUUUUGACCUCGAUCCAAUAGAAACACUUUCGUGAUUUAACCAAAACCUAGUUUACCAUUUAUUAUUUAGGUGUAACAGCAAUUUUCAUCAAGUUUGUGGCCUUUCUUAUGAUGCCACUCUCCCCCUUCUUUCUAAUUCACUGGUAAUAAUCUCUACUCUUUACUACUCAAUUUGCAUUGAGGUGUUCAAUAGUCUUCGUGUUCCUCUAUUAGUUGUAAUUAUUUUGGUUAUUGAAGGGCUAUAUUGGCAUCUUUCUUCUGUUGCAUUUUUGCAUUUCUUUUUUAUUAUUUCAGUUUAUGUGUUGAUACUAAUUAGAUCAUAUUUUUAGGUCAACGAGUGAUAAGCUGCAUUUUUCUGAACAAAGAUAUCAGAAUGAAAUCGAAAAUAAAAUGGGCAGCCAUUGGAGGACUAGUGUUGUCAUUUAUGUCUUUAUUGGUGCAUUUAUUUCUUGCCAAGUAUAGCGCUGAUCUAGUAGAAUACAGUGAAAUCUUUGGUGUUUACUACGAUAUCAUUACCUUGUUGUGAUUUUCAUAUUGUUGUGCAUGUCUGAAUGAGUUACUAAUAUUGUCAUUGGCAAUCGAUGUAAUGCAAAGGUCACAACACGUUCCAACGUGUCAAAUGUGGAGAAAGUACAUGAUGCAUUCGACGAUGUACAUAACGUGUCAAAUGUGGAGAAAUUAUACAAUACCGAUAUUUUUGUCCUUGAUUAUGAUUUGUAGGACCUUUUGAUGUAUUUGUAUGUUUACGAUUUAUGAGUGUAAAUAUAAUUUUAUAGUGUA